rnacentral:rRNA from 1 species
AUUGAACGCUGGCGGCAGGCCUAACACAUGCAAGUCGAACGGUAACAGGAAGACGCUUGCUUCUUUGCUGACGAGUGGCGGACGGGUGAGUAAUGUCUGGGAAACUGCCUGAUGGAGGGGGAUAACUACUGGAAACGGUAGCUAAUACCGCAUAACGUCGCAAGACCACAGAGGGGGACCUUCGGGCCUCUUGCCCUCGGAUGUGCCCAGAUGGGAUUAGCUAGUAGGUGGGGGAACGGCUCACCUAGGCGACGAUCCCUGGCUGGUCUGAGAGGAUGACCAGCCACACUGGAACUGAGACACGGUCCAGACUCCUACGGGAGGCAGCAGUGGGGAAUAUUGCACAAUGGGCGCAAGCCUGAUGCAGCCAUGCCGCGUGUAUGAAGAAGGCCUUCGGGUUGUAAAGUACUUUCAGCGGGGAGGAAGGGAGUAAAGUUAAUACCUUUGCUCAUUGACGUUACCCGCAGAAGAAGCACCGGCUAACUCCGUG